rnacentral:rRNA from 1 species
UACGUAGGGUGCAAGCGUUGUCCGGAAUUAUUGGGCGUAAAGAGCUCGUAGGCGGUCUGUCGCGUCUGCUGUGAAAUCCCGGGGCUCAACCCCGGGCUUGCAGUGGAUACGGGCAGACUAGAGUUCGGUAGGGGAGACUGGAAUUCCUGGUGUAGCGGUGAAAUGCGCAGAUAUCAGGAGGAACACCGGUGGCGAAGGCGGGUCUCUGGGCCGAUACUGACGCUGAAGCACGAAAGCGUGGGGAGCAAACAGG